CCUACGGGCGGCAGCAGUGAGGAAUAUUGGUCAAUGGGCGAGAGCCUGAACCAGCCAAGUCGCGUGAAGGAUGAAGGAUCUAUGGUUUGUAAACUUCUUUUAUAUGGGAAUAAAGUGAGGAACGUGUUCCUUUUUGUAUGUACCAUAUGAAUAAGCAUCGGCUAACUCCGUGCCAGCAGCCGCGGUAAUACGGAGGAUGCGAGCGUUAUCCGGAUUUAUUGGGUUUACAGGGUGCGUAGGUGGUUAAUUAAGUCAGCGGUGAAAGUUUGUGGCUCAACCAUAAAAUUGCCGUUGAAACUGGUUGACUUGAGUAUAUUUGAGGUAGGCGGAAUGCGUGGUGUAGCGGUGAAAUGCAUAGAUAGCACGCAGAACUCCGAUUGCGAAGGCGACCUGCUGGAACAUUACUGACGCUGAUGCACGAAAGCGUGGGGAGCAAACAGGAUUAGAUACCCUGGUAGUC
rnacentral:rRNA from 1 species